rnacentral:rRNA from 1 species
UACGUAUGGGGCAAGCGUUGUUCGGAAUUAUUGGGCGUAAAGGGCGUGUAGGUGGCUUUGCAAGUCUGGUGUAAAACUCUUCGGCUUAACCGGAGAUGUGCGCUGGAAACUGCAAGGCUUGAGUUCUGAAUGGGAAGCUGGAAUUCCUGGUGUAGGGGUGAAAUCUGUAGAUAUCAGGAAGAACACCAAUGGCGAAGGCAAGCUUCUGGGCAAGAACUGACACUGAGGCGCGAAAGCGUGGGGAU